UUCGAGUGGCGGACGGGUGAGUAACGCGUGGGUAACCUGCCUUACACAGGGGGAUAACACCUGGAAACAGGUGCUAAUACCGCAUAAGCGCACAGGGCCGCAUGGCCCGGUGUGAAAAACUCCGGUGGUGUAAGAUGGACCCGCGUCUGAUUAGCUUGUUGGCGGGGUAGGGGCCCACCAAGGCGACGAUCAGUAGCCGGCCUGAGAGGGUGGACGGCCACAUUGGGACUGGGACACGGCCCAAACUCCUACGGAAGGCAGCAG
rnacentral:rRNA from 1 species